rnacentral:rRNA from 1 species
AUGGAAGAAGAGCUUAGGGAAAAGAUGUUGAUUAAGAAAAAGCUACAAGAGGAAAGAAAAGAAAAUACUGGAGAGUUGGAUAAGCUAGAUUUUGAGCAGAAAUAUAACGAUUCAGAAAUCAAGAGAUGUUAUACAAAGAUAGAGGAGGCUUGUUCAGAAACUUCUGAGAAGGAAGAGGCUACUGGUCCUACAACUCAAGUGGAAGUUCGUGCAGUGGAAAGAUGA